GAUGAACGCUGGCGGCGUGCCUAAUACAUGCAAGUCGAGCGAACGGACGAGAAGCUUGCUUCUCUGAUGUUAGCGGCGGACGGGUGAGUAACACGUGGAUAACCUACCUAUAAGACUGGGAUAACUUCGGGAAACCGGAGCUAAUACCGGAUAAUAUUUUGAACCGCAUGGUUCAAAAGUGAAAGACGGUCUUGCUGUCACUUAUAGAUGGAUCCGCGCCGCAUUAGCUAGUUGGUAAGGUAACGGCUUACCAAGGCAACGAUGCAUAGCCGACCUGAGAGGGUGAUCGGCCACACUGGAACUGAGACACGGUCCAGACUCCUACGGGAGGCAGCAGUAGGGAAUCUUCCGCAAUGGGCGAAAGCCUGACGGAGCAACGCCGCGUGAAUGAUGAAGGUCUUCGGAUCGUAAAACUCUGUUAUUAGGGAAGAACAUAUGUGUAAGUAACUGUGCACAUCUUGACGGUACCUAAUCAGAAAGCCACGGCUAACUACGUG
rnacentral:rRNA from 1 species